rnacentral:rRNA from 1 species
UGAGGAACAUGACUUUCGGCGGGGGAUAGCCGGCCCAACGGCCGGGUAAUACCGCGUACGACCACAUGGGGACAUCCCUGAGUGGUGAAAGCAGCAAUGCGCCGAUGGAGUGCCUCGCGGCCUAUCAGCUAGUUGGUGAGGUAACGGCUCACCAAGGCGACGACGGGUAGCUGGUCUGAGAGGAUGGCCAGCCACAUUGGGACUGAGAUACCGGCCCAGACCUCGUAACGGGGA